rnacentral:rRNA from 1 species
GACGAACGCUGGCGGCGUGCCUAAUACAUGCAAGUCGAGCGGACAGAUGGGAGCUUGCUCCCUGAAGUCAGCGGCGGACGGGUGAGUAACACGUGGGCAACCUGCCUGUAAGACUGGGAUAACUUCGGGAAACCGGAGCUAAUACCAGAUACGUUCUUUUCUCGCAUGAGAGAAGAUGGAAAGAUGGUUUCGGCUAUCACUUACAGAUGGGCCCGCGGCGCAUUAGCUAGUUGGUGAGGUAAUGGCUCACCAAGGCGACGAUGCGUAGCCGACCUGAGAGGGUGAUCGGCCACACUGGGACUGAGACACGGCCCAGACUCCUACGGGAGGCAGCAGUAGGGAAUCUUCCGCAAUGGACGAAAGUCUGACGGAGCAACGCCGCGUGAACGAUGAAGGCCUUCGGGUCGUAAAGUUCUGUUGUUAGGGAAGAACAAGUACCAGAGUAACUGCUGGUACCUUGACGGUACCUAACCAGAAAGCCACGGCUAACUACGUGCCAGCAGCCGCAGUAAAAC